GACGAACGCUGGCGGCGUGCCUAAUACAUGCAAGUAGAACGCUGAAGAGAGGAGCUUGCUCUUCUUGGAUGAGUUGCGAACGGGUGAGUAACGCGUAGGUAACCUGCCUUGUAGCGGGGGAUAACUAUUGGAAACGAUAGCUAAUACCGCAUAACAAUGGAUGACACAUGUCAUUUAUUGAAAGGGGCAAUUGCUCCACUACAAGAUGGACCUGCGUUGUAUUAGCUAGUAGGUGAGGUAACAGCUCACCUAGGCGACGAUACAUAGCCGACCUGAGAGGGUGAUCGGCCACACUGGGACUGAGACACGGCCCAGACUCCUACGGGAGGCAGCAGUAGGGAAUCUUCGGCAAAUGGGGGCAACCCUGACCGAGCAAACGCCGCGUGAGUGAAGAAGGUUUUCGGAUCGUAAAGCUCUGUUGUAAGUCAAGAACGAGUGUGAGAGUGGAAAGUUCACACUGUGACGGUAGCUUACCAG
rnacentral:rRNA from 1 species